rnacentral:piRNA from 1 species
UAAUUGCUUGCUUUUGACAUGAUGAUUUGGU